GAUGAACGCUGGCGGCGUGCCUAAUACAUGCAAGUCGAGCGAACAGACGAGGAGCUUGCUCCUCUGACGUUAGCGGCGGACGGGUGAGUAACACGUGGAUAACCUACCUAUAAUACUGGGAUAACUUCGGGAAACCGGAGCUAAUACCGGAUAAUAUAUUGAACCGCAUGGUUCAAUAGUUAAAGACAGUUUUGCUGUCACUUAUAGCUGAAUCCGCGCCGCAUUAGCUAGUUGGUAAGGUAACGGCUUACCAAGGCAACGAUGCGUAGCCGACCUGAGAGGGUGAUCGGCCACACUGGAACUGAGACACGGUCCAGACUCCUACGGGAGGCAGCAGUAGGGAAUCUUCCGCAAUGGGCGAAAGCUUGACGGAGCAACGCCGCGUGAGUGAUGAAGGUCUUCGGAUCGUAAAACUCUGUUAUUAGGGAAGAACAAAUGUGUAAGUAACUAUGCACGUCUUGACGGUACCUAAUCAGAAAGCCACGGCUAACUACGUG
rnacentral:rRNA from 1 species